GAGCACGUAGGUGGGUUUGUAAGUCAGAUGUGAAAGCCUUCUGUUCAACGGAAGAAUUGCAUCUGAAACUACAAACCUUGAGUGUAGGAGGGGAGAAUGGAACUUCUGGUGGAGCGGUGAAAUGCGUAGAUAUCAGAAGGAACGCCGGCGGCGAAAGCGAUUCUCUGGCCUAUUACUGACACUCAGUGUGCGAAAGCUAGGGGAGCAAACGGGAUUAGAUACCCCGGUAGUCCUAGCCGUAAACGAUGGGCACUAAGUAGAGGGG
rnacentral:rRNA from 1 species